GCUGCCUGGAGUGCAUUCUCUGCUUUUUGUUCCUGCUUUCCUGAUUAAGGAAAAGAGAAGAGAAGUUUUUUCACCCCUUUCCUGCUGCGGAGAGAAUCACUGCCUGAGCCUGCUAUCUGUGCGGAUUGGUUCAGCCAAUGGGGAGAGAGCAAGCAAAGGAGAGCUCCUUGGUUAGGAACACAAUGAGUCUACAUCAGCGUUUUAAAAACCUGGAAAUACAUCAAGAUAAGCUAGAAUUUGGAAGACAAAGCCUGAUUUGUGUAUGGAGUGUUUACCAAAAUCUCAGAUGGACUUCAGGGAACCUAACUUCCCAAUUGCAAUUAACUUAAGAUCUCAUUUCCGUGGAAAUUAGGGGAAACACAACCUCCACAGAUGACAAAGGCCACCUGUAUAAUGAUAUUUAGCAUUUUACAGACAACAUUUAGUGGGAUGUAGCUUGCCAACUCUGACUGAAGCUAUUUCUGGACAUCUUUCCCUCAAUAUUUUUCACAAUAUCU